AACGAACGCUGGCGGCAUGCCUAACACAUGCAAGUCGAACGAGACCUUCGGGUCUAGUGGCGCACGGGUGCGUAACGCGUGGGAAUCUACCCUUGGGUUCGGAAUAACUCAGAGAAAUUUGAGCUAAUACCGGAUGAUGUCGCAAGACCAAAGAUUUAUCGCCCAAGGAUGAGCCCGCGUAGGAUUAGCUUGUUGGUGAGGUAAAAGCUCACCAAGGCGACGAUCCUUAGCUGGUCUGAGAGGAUGAUCAGCCACACUGGGACUGAGACACGGCCCAGACUCCUACGGGAGGCAGCAGUGGGGAAUAUUGGACAAUGGGCGAAAGCCUGAUCCAGCAAUGCCGCGUGAGUGAUGAAGGCCUUAGGGUUGUAAAGCUCUUUUACCCGGGAUGAUAAUGACAGUACCGGGAGAAUAAGCCCGGCUAACUCCGUGCCAGCAGCCGCGGUAA
rnacentral:rRNA from 1 species